rnacentral:tRNA from 1 species
GCCUGGAUGGCUCAGUUGGUUAAGCAUCUGACUUCAGCUCAGGUCACGCAUGAUCUCAUGGUUUGUGGGUUCGAGCCCCACGUUGGGCU